UCAGGCCUAACACAUGCAAGUCGAACGGUCUCUUCGGAGAUAGUGGCGGACGGGUGAGUAACGCGUGAGAAUCUAGCUUCAGGUCGGGGAUAACAGUUGGAAACGACUGCUAAUACCGGAUAUGCCGGAAGGUGAAAGGCUUGCUGCCUGAAGAUGAGCUCGCGUCUGAUUAGCUAGUUGGUGGUGUAAGGGACUACCAAGGCGACGAUCAGUAGCUGGUCUGAGAGGAUGAUCAGCCACACUGGGACUGAGACACGGCCCAGACUCCUACGGGAGGCAGCAGUGGGGAAUUUUCUUCAAAGGGCGAAAGCCUGACGGAGCAA
rnacentral:rRNA from 1 species